rnacentral:rRNA from 1 species
UACGUAGGGGGCUAGCGUUGUCCGGAAUUACUGGGCGUAAAGAGCUCGUAGGUGGUUUGUCGCGUUGUCCGUGAAAACUCACAACUCAAUUGUGGGCGUGCGGGCGAUACGGGCAGACCGGAGUACUGCAGGGGAGACUGGAAUUCCUGGUGUAGCGGUGGAAUGCGCAGAUAUCAGGAGGAACACCGGUGGCGAAGGCGGGUCUCUGGGCAGUAACUGACGCUGAGGAGCGAAAGCGUGGGGAGCGAACAGG